CUUGGUCAUUUAGAGGAAGUAAAAGUCGUAACAAGGUCUCCGUAGGUGAACCUGCGGAAGGAUCAUUACAGAGUUCAUGCCCUCACGGGUAGAUCUCCCACCCUUGAAUAUUUUAUACCUUAGUUGCUUUGGCAGGCCGUGGAAACACCAUGGGCUCCGGCUUAUGCGUGCCUGCCAGAGGAAACAAACUCUGUUUUUAGUGAUGUCUGAGUACUAUAUAAUAGUUAAAACUUUCAACAACGGAUCUCUUGGUUCUGGCAUCGAUGAAGAACGCAGCGAAAUGCGAUAAGUAAUGUGAAUUGCAGAAUUCAGUGAAUCAUCGAAUCUUUGAACGCACAUUGCGCCCCUUGGUAUUCCGGGGGGCAUGCCUGUUCGAGCGUCAUUACAACCCUCAAGCCUUGCUUGGUAUUGGGCAUCGCCGUUCACUCGGCGGGCCUUAAAAUCAGUGGCGGUGCCAUUGUGGCCCUGAGCGUAGUAAAUAUCCUCGCUAUAGGGACCCGGUGCCUACUAGCCAGUAACCCCCAACUUUCUAAGUUUGACCUCGGAUCAGGUAGGGAUACCCGCUGAACUUAAGCAUAUCAAUAAGCGGAGGAAAAGAAACCAACCAAUCU
rnacentral:rRNA from 1 species